rnacentral:rRNA from 1 species
CCUACGGGUGGGCAGCAGUGGGGAAUAUUGGGCAAUGGGCGCAAGCCUGACCCAGCAACGCCGCGUGAAGGAAGAAGGCUUUCGGGUUGUAAACUUCUUUUCUCAGGGACGAAGCAAGUGACGGUACCUGAGGAAUAAGCCACGGCUAACUACGUGCCAGCAGCCGCGGUAAUACGUAGGUGGCAAGCGUUAUCCGGAUUUACUGGGUGUAAAGGGCGUGAAGGCGGGACUGCAAGUCAGAUGUGAAAACCACGGGCUCAACCUGUGGCCUGAAUUUGAAACUGUAGUUCUUGAGUACUGGAGAGGCAGACGGAAUUCGUGGUGGAGGGGUGAAAUGAGGAGAUAUAAGGAGGAACACCAGUGGCGAAGGGGGUCUGCUGGACAGCAACGGACGCUGAGGCGCGAAAGCGUGGGGAGCAAACAGGAUUAGAUACCCGGGUAGUC